GCUUUCCCUCCAGAGUGGAUCCUGAGUACGGCGGAACACGUGAAAUUCCGUCGGAAUCCGGGAGGACCAUCUCCCAAGGCUAAAUACUCCCUAGUGACCGAUAGGGAACCAGUACCGUGAGGGAAAGGUGAAAAGCACCCCGGAAGGGGAGUGAAACAGUUCCUGAAACCGUGUGCCCACAAGGAGUUAGAGCCCGGUAAUGGGUGAUAGCGUGCCUUUUGUAGAAUGAACC
rnacentral:rRNA from 1 species